rnacentral:piRNA from 1 species
UGACAAAUGAAGCAACAGAUAUGUGGAUGGA